GUUGUGGCUCAGAGGUAGAGCGCUUGCCUCGCAUGCGUGGAACCCUGGAUUCGAUCCUCAGCACCACA
rnacentral:tRNA from 1 species